GCCAAAAUAUUUGGGUACUACCAGAAAUGGCUGAAAAUAAAGCAAAAAAAGAAGAAGUAUCACAUCCUCUUCUCCUUUUGUUCAGCAAAAAUUGAUUUAAAACCUGAGGAACCAAAGGUAGAGGAGAAGGCAGAAGCUCUACCUAAAGUAAGUAAGAAGCAGCAGUGGUGAUCCAAAACCCAGAACCACAGGGGAGGUGGAACCACAGUCAGUACCAUCUUUUUUGCUCCUUCAGCUGCAUUUUCAUCCGUACCUUUAUUCUGAAUGUUUUCUUUUCUUUUCACUUCUCAUCAAAUCAUUACGGGAGUUUGCUUUUUUUGGUUUAUUUAUUUAUUUAUUGUUUGUUUGUUUCUAUGCCACCCUUAAACCAGAACUCUCUCUGAGUGGCUUACAGUAUAUAAUUUCAGAGAAGUCCCUAGUCUCAGGCGUACAAUCUAAAGGGACAAGACACAAAAGGAAAAGGCUCCGGGAUGGAAGAGGGGACAGUAAUCCCGAAAUAGGAAAUGAAUAGAUAACAUGCUGCUGGGUACACAAAUGGGUAGAGCACAGUAUUGUCCUAUUCAUCCUUAAUGCUACAAAUGUCAGUAGUUUUCAGGUAAAAGGAGCAUUUGUACAAUGGCAUGAUGGGUAAAGUAUCAAGUCCCGUAACUUCCAUCUGGAUGUAUCAGUGAACAAUGGAUCUGAAUUCCCAGUCUAGCCUUCCAUGGCAGCAGCUUUUCUAAUACUUUUUCACCAGCACAGCAUCUGGUUGUCCUCUUAUUCUUCUUUGGACUUUUCCAAUAAGCCCAUGAAGUUCUUUGUAGUUUCCUCUUUUUAUCUCUCCCCUCUUUUCCCGACAGCCUCCCGUCCCAGCCUGGCAGACGUGCUCCAGCUCAUGACGGUCGCGCAUCUGUUCACUUUCUUCCCUUUAGCAAUCAGAGUUGAGCCUUUCCCUCCUGCUUGCACAUCUCUUCCAAGACUCAUUUGGCCGCUGAAGAGGAAAGGAUAUGGAUAAGGAAAAUAAUUCUGAGAGAAAUAGACAAAAGACUAUAAGGACAAGAAUAGUACAAUGAGAAUACCAUUUUCCACUAUCUCAGUGAAGCAACCUUUCCCUGUAGAAGAAGAGCUAUGGGGAAGUUUCUGUAAUAGAAAGAACACAUUUUCCCACAAGAAAAACAUUCUGGCACAAUCCUUUUGUGUCUCUGUUUAUGUUUUCCUGUGAAAAGUUAGGAAAACCUUGUUAAAACAGGCUUUGAGAUUUUUGUUGUUGGGUUACACCCAGUUAUGCACCCAAAAACGCUUUAUGAUAGAACUAAGCUGAAGACUCAGCAAUUAAUUUCUUUUUUAAGCUUCACAGAAUAAGUUCAGAAACUCAGUUUCCAAUAAAGAUGUACUAAAUAAGCCUCUCCA
rnacentral:lncRNA from 1 species